rnacentral:rRNA from 1 species
UACGAAGGGGGCUAGCGUUGCUCGGAAUUACUGGGCGUAAAGGGCGCGUAGGCGGACAGGUUAGUCAGAGGUGAAAGCCCAGGGCUCAACCUUGGAAUUGCCUUUGAUACUGGCUGGCUUGAGUUCGGGAGAGGUGAGUGGAAUGCCGAGUGUAGAGGUGAAAUUCGUAGAUAUUCGGCGGAACACCAGUGGCGAAGGCGACUCACUGGCCCGAUACUGACGCUGAGGCGCGAAAGCGUGGGGAGCAAACAGG